AUUGAACGCUGGCGGCAGGCCUAACACAUGCAAGUCGAACGGUAACAGGAAGCAGCUUGCUGCUUCGCUGACGAGUGGCGGACGGGUGAGUAAUGUCUGGGAAACUGCCUGAUGGAGGGGGAUAACUACUGGAAACGGUAGCUAAUACCGCAUAACGUCGCAAGACCAAAGAGGGGGACCUUAGGGCCUCUUGCCAUCGGAUGUGCCCAGAUGGGAUUAGCUAGUAGGUGGGGUAACGGCUCACCUAGGCGACGAUCCCUAGCUGGUCUGAAAGGAUGACCAGCCACACUGGAACUGAGACACGGUCCAGACUCCUACGGGAGGCAGCAGUGGGGAAUAUUGCACAAUGGGCGCAAGCCUGAUGCAGCCAUGCCGCGUGUAUGAAGAAGGCCUUCGGGUUGUAAAGUACUUUCAGCGGGGAGGAAGGGAGUAAAGUUAAUACCUUUGCUCAUUGACGUUACCCGCAGAAGAAGCACCGGCUAACUCCGUG
rnacentral:rRNA from 1 species